CAGCCGCCGCGGGAACACAGAGGGUGCGAGCGUUAAUCGGAUUUACUGGGCGUAAAGCGUGCGUAGGCGGCUUCUUAAGUCGGAUGUGAAAUCCCUGAGCUUAACUUAGGAAUUGCAUUCGAUACUGGGAAGCUAGAGUAUGGGAGAGGAUGGUAGAAUUCCAGGUGUAGCGGUGAAAUGCGUAGAGAUCUGGAGGAAUACCGAUGGCGAAGGCAGCCAUCUGGCCUAAUACUGACGCUGAGGUACGAAAGCAUGGGGAGCAAACAGGAUUAGAGACCCCGGUAGUCCCUGUCUCUUAUAC
rnacentral:rRNA from 1 species